CGAAAGCCUGACGGAGCAACGCCGCGUGUGGGAAGAAGGCUCUUGGGCUGUCAACCACUUUUCUCAGGGAAGAAGUCCUGACGGUACCUGAGGAAUCAGCCUCGGCUAACUCCGUGCCAGCAGCCGCGGUAAUACGGAGGAGGCAAGCGUUAUCCGGAAUCAUUGGGCGUAAAGCGUCCGCAGGGGGCGGGUCAAGUCUGCUGUCAAAGGUCGGAGCUUAACUCCGGUUCGGCAGUGGAAACUGGCACGCUAGAGGGCGACAGGGGUAGAGGGAAUUCCCAGUGUAGCGGUGAAAUGCGUAGAGAUUGGGAAGAACACCGGUGGCGAAAGCGCUCUACUGGGUCGCGCCUGACCCUCAGGGACGAAAGCUAAGGGAGCG
rnacentral:rRNA from 1 species